rnacentral:rRNA from 1 species
UACGUAGGGGCCUAGCGUUGUCCGGAAUUAUUGGGCGUAAAGAGCUCGUAGGCGGUUCGGCAAGUCGGAUGUGAAAUCUCCACGCUUAACGUGGAGGGCCAUUCGAAACUGCUGUGACUCGAGUCCGGUAGGGGAGUGUGGAAUUCCCGGUGUAGCGGUGAAAUGCGCAGAUAUCGGGAGGAACACCAGUAGCGAAGGCGGCACUCUGGGCCGGUACGUGACGCUGAGGAGCGAAAGCGUGGGGAGCGAACGAGGAAUUGAUGACCCCAGUAACCGUCAGACCCAAGUCCUCUGACCGUCA